rnacentral:lncRNA from 1 species
CAUGUAUAUGACUCAUAUUCCCUUUACACGAGUCGUAUAGAUUGUUUGGCAUGGUUAAAUACGAGACCUUAUAUGAAUUGUAUAAGCCUAUACAAGUGAUAUGUGUGUAUAGGGAAAAGAUCAUGAUGAUACUCUUUCUUUGUGAAAAAACUAGAAAACUCAUUAUCGGACAAGUGUAAUCUAUGCCCCGCAUACAUGUGUUGUAGUAUCAUAUAUAGGCAAUAUGUAUUGGACAUGUCCAAUAUUUAGUUUCUCACGAAAAAAUUAGUUUUUUUCUCUUAUAUAUGUGUAUAUAAAAACACACAUCAAAUUAUUUGAUUUGACGCAAGAUUCCUCGAAAUGAGCGGCAUAUUAUUUGGCAUGAUGUAAGAUUUUUUGCUAUGUGCGUCAAUCGAGAUGUGUGAAU